UACGAAGGGGGCUAGCGUUGCUCGGAAUCACUGGGCGUAAAGCGCACGUAAGCGGAUUGUUAAGUCAGGGGUGAAAUCCUGGAGCUCAACUCCAGAACUGCCUUUGAUACUGGCGAUCUCGAGUCCGGGAGAGGUGAGUGGAACUGCGAGUGUAGAGGUGAAAUUCGUAGAUAUUCGCAAGAACACCAGUGGCGAAGGCGGCUCACUGGCCCGAUACUGACGCUGAGGCACGAAAGCGUGGGGAGCAAACAGG
rnacentral:rRNA from 1 species